rnacentral:precursor_RNA from 1 species
AAUAAUAUAAUAAAAUAUUUUAUGUAAUUUAUAUAUAUUUAUAAUUAUAAAAUAAAAAUAUUAUAAAUAAUAAAAUUAAUAAUAAUAAUAAUUUUAAUAAAAUAAAUUAUAUAUUUAAUUUUAUUAUGAAGUUUAUACUUAAUAUAAAUUAUAUUUCCUUUAUAAAUUAUUAAUAUAUCCUUUUUAAUUAAAUAAAAUAAAAAUAUUAUAAAUAUUAAUAAUUAAUUUUUUAUUUAUAUUUAUAUAUAUAUUAAAGAUUAAAUAUAUUAUUAAUACUAGUUUAUAAUUUAUUAUUAAUAAAUAGUCCGG